GCUGGCGGCGUGCCUAAUACAUGCAAGUCGAGCGAACAGACAAGGAGCUUGCUCCUUUGACGUUAGCGGCGGACGGGUGAGUAACACGUGGGUAACCUACCUAUAAGACUGGGAUAACUUCGGGAAACCGGAGCUAAUACCGGAUAAUAUUUCGAACCGCAUGGUUCGAUAGUGAAAGAUGGUUUUGCUAUCACUUAUAGAUGGACCCGCGCCGUAUUAGCUAGUUGGUAAGGUAACGGCUUACCAAGGCGACGAUACGUAGCCGACCUGAGAGGGUGAUCGGCCACACUGGAACUGAGACACGGUCCAGACUCCUACGGGAGGCAGCAGUAGGGAAUCUUCCGCAAUGGGCGAAAGCCUGACGGAGCAACGCCGCGUGAGUGAUGAAGGUCUUCGGAUCGUAAAACUCUGUUAUUAGGGAAGAACAUACGUGUAAGUAACUAUGCACGUCUGACG
rnacentral:rRNA from 1 species